rnacentral:rRNA from 1 species
AAACGCUGGCGGCAGGCUUAACACAUGCAAGUCGAGCGCCCCGCAAGGGGAGCGGCAGACGGGUGAGUAACGCGUGGGAACGUACCUUUUGCUACGGAAUAACUCAGGGAAACUUGUGCUAAUACCGUAUGUGCCCUUCGGGGGAAAGAUUUAUCGGCAAAGGAUCGGCCCGCGUUGGAUUAGCUAGUUGGUGAGGUAAAGGCUCACCAAGGCGACGAUCCAUAGCUGGUCUGAGAGGAUGAUCAGCCACACUGGGACUGAGACACGGCCCAGACUCCUACGGGAGGCAGCAGUGGGGAAUAUUGGACAAUGGGCGCAAGCCUGAUCCAGCCAUGCCGCGUGAGUGAUGAAGGCCCUAGGGUUGUAAAGCUCUUUCACCGGUGAAGAUAAUGACGGUAACCGGAGAAGAAGCCCCGGCUAACUUCGUGCCAGCAGCCGCGGUAAUACGAAGGGGGCUAGCGUUGUUCGGAUUUACUGGGCGUAAAGCGCACGUAGGCGGACUUUUAAGUCAGGGGUGAAAUCCCGGGGCUCAACCCCGGAACUGCCUUUGAUACUGGAAGUCUUGAGUAUGGUAGAGGUGAGUGGAAUUCCGAGUGUAGAGGUGAAAUUCGUAGAUAUUCGGAGGAACACCAGUGGCGAAGGGGCUCACUGGACCAUUACUGACGCUGGGUGCGAAGCGUGGGAGCAACAGAUUAAAUACCUGGUAUCCACGCCGUAAACAUAAUGUUGCGUGGGGAUUUAUCUUCGUGGGCACUACGCUAAACUUCCGCUGGGAGUACGUNCANAUAAACCAAGGAUUNCGGGCCNCCAACGGGGACUNUGUUAUUCNACACCCAAAC